rnacentral:tRNA from 1 species
AGUGGUUUAGCACUUAGCUGCUAACUGAAAGAUUGGUGGAUCAAACCCACCAGCCACUC